rnacentral:rRNA from 1 species
UACGGGGGGGGGCAAGCGUUGUUCGAAAUUACUGGGCGUAAAGGGCUCGUAGGCGGCCAACUAAGUCAGACGUGAAAUCCCUCGGCUUAACCGGGGAACUGCGUCUGAUACUGGAUGGCUUGAGAUUGGGAGAGGGAUGCGGAAUUCCAGGUGUAGCGGUGAAAUGCGUAGAUAUCUGGAGGAACACCGGUGGCGAAGGCGGCAUCCUGGACCGGCAUUGACGCUGAGGCGCGAAAGCUAGGGGAGCAAACGGG